CCGACCUUGACUGAGUUGGAAGAGCACAAGACCGUAAUGUGAAAGAAUCUCCUAUAUUGGAGUUGCCUGUUCAAGCCAGGCAGGUCGGA